rnacentral:rRNA from 1 species
UACGUAGGGUGCAAGCGUUGUCCGGAAUUAUUGGGCGUAAAGAGCGUGUAGGCGGCUUCACAGGUCCGCUGUGAAAACUCGAGGCUCAACCUCGAGCUGUCGGUGGAAACCGUGUGGCUAGAGUCCGGAAGAGGAGAGUGGAAUUCCCGGUGUAGCGGUGAAAUGCGCAGAUAUCGGGAAGAACACCCGUGGCGAAGGCGGCUCUCUGGGACGGUACUGACGCUGAGACGCGAAAGCGUGGGGAGCGAACAGG